UAGGGAAUUUUGCGCAAUGGACGAAAUGUCUGACGCAGCGACGCCGCGUGUGGGAUGAAGGGUUUCGGCUCGUAAACCACUGUCAGAUGGGAAGAUGGGGUUGUAAGUUAAUACCUUACUAUCCUGACUGUACCAUCAGAGGAAGCACCGGCUAACUACGUGCCAGCAGCCGCGGUAAUACGUAGGGUGCUAGCGUUACUCGGAAUCAUUGGGCGUAAAGGGUGUGUAGGCGGAAUAGUAAGUCAGAUGUGAAAGCCUUGGGCUUACCCCAAGAAGUGCAUUUGAUACUGCUAUUCUAGAGUUCGGGAGAGGGAGGCAGAAUUCCAGGUGUAGAGGUGAAAUCCGUAGAUAUCUGGAGGAAUACCGGAGGCGAAGGCGGCCUCCUGGACCGAUACUGACGCUGAGACACGAAAGCGUGGGGAGCAAACA
rnacentral:rRNA from 1 species